AGUGAACGCUGGCGGUAGGCCUAACACAUGCCAGUCGAACGGCAGCACAGUAAGAGCUUGCUCUUACGGGUGGCGAGUGGCGGACGGGUGAGGAAUACAUCGGAAUCUACUUUUUCGUGGGGGAUAACGUAGGGAAACUUACGCUAAUACCGCAUACGACCUACGGGUGAAAGCAGGGGAUCUUCGGACCUUGCGCGAUUGAAUGAGCCGAUGUCGGAUUAGCUAGUUGGCGGGGUAAAGGCCCACCAAGGCGACGAUCCGUAGCUGGUCUGAGAGGAUGAUCAGCCACACUGGAACUGAGACACGGUCCAGACUCCUACGGGAGGCAGCAGUGGGGAAUAUUGGACAAGGGGCGCAAGCCUGAUCCAGCCAUACCGCGUGGGUGAAGAAGGCCUGCGGGUUGUAAAGCCCUUUUGUUGGGAAAGAAAAGCAGCAGGUUAAUACCCCGCUGUUCUGACGGUACCCAAAGAAUAAGCACCGGCUAACUUCGU
rnacentral:rRNA from 1 species